rnacentral:tRNA from 1 species
GGGGAUUUAGCUCAGUUGUAGAGCACUUGCCUAGCAAGCACAAGGCCCUGGGUUCGGUCCCCAGCUCCA